rnacentral:rRNA from 1 species
CCUACGGGAGGCAGCAGUGGGGAAUUGUUCGCAAUGGGCGCAAGCCUGACGACGCAGCGCCGCGUGGAGGAUGAAGACCUUCGGGUCGUAAACUCCUUUCGAUCGAGACGAAUGUUUUCCGGGUGAACAAUCCGGAAAAGUGACGGUACCGAGAGAAGAAGCCCCGGCUAACUCUGUGCCAGCAGCCGCGGUAAUACAGGGGGGGCAAGCGUUGUUCGGAAUUACUGGGCGUAAAGGGCUUGUAGGUGGCCAACUAAGUCAGACGUGAAAUCCCUCAGCUUAACUGGGGAACUGCGUCUGAUACUGGAUGGCUUGAGUUUGGGAGAGGGAUGCGGAAUUCCAGGUGUAGCGGUGAAAUGCGUAGAUAUCUGGAGGAACACCGGUGGCGAAGGCGGCAUCCUGGACCAACACUGACACUGAGGAGCGAAAGCCAGGGGAGCAAACGGGGAUUAGAUACCCCGGUAGUCCUGGCCCUAAACGAUGAAUGCUUGGUGUGGCGGGUAUCGAUCCCUGCCGUGCCGAAGCUAACGCAUUAAGCAUUCCGCCUGGGGAGUACGGUCGCGAGCGNGAACGACAAGUAGAAGUUAGUACGGCGUGAGACGUAGCCGAACGGACGACGACGAGGGAGGAGG